UUUUAGAUUGAAUUGGAAAAUCUGAAUACAGCCACCGAUGAGAUUAAUAAAUUGGAAAUUGAAUUAGAGGAAGCUAACUCCACCUUUCGCAUUUUGAUGAAUGAAUCAACUAGACGCUUAAAAUUAUCCUCCAAAAAACUUGGCAGCUGUAUAGAUAAGGCUAGACCCUAUUAUGAAGCUUUGGAAAAAGCUAGAGAAGCACAAAUUGAGUGCCAAAAGGCAGCAGUUAAAUUUCAAAGAGCUAAUG